UACGUAGGGUGCGAGCGUUAAUCGGAAUUACUGGGCGUAAAGCGUGCGUAGGCGGUUCGUUAAGUUCGUUGUGAAAGCCCCGGGCUCAACCUGGGAAUGGCAAUGGAAACUGGCGGGCUGGAGUAUGGCAGAGGGGGGUGGAAUUCCGCGUGUAGCAGUGAAAUGCGCAGAUAUCGGGAGGAACACCGGUGGCGAAGGCGGUUCUCUGGGCCUUACCUGACGCUGAGGAGCGAAAGCGUGGGGAGCGAACAGG
rnacentral:rRNA from 1 species